rnacentral:rRNA from 1 species
GACGAACGCUGGCGGCGUGCUUAACACAUGCAAGUCGAACGGAAAGGCCCUGCUUUUGUGGGGUGCUCGAGUGGCGAACGGGUGAGUAACACGUGAGUAACCUGCCCUUGACUUUGGGAUAACUUCAGGAAACUGGGGCUAAUACCGGAUAGGAGCUCCUGCUGCAUGGUGGGGGUUGGAAAGUUUCGGCGGUUGGGGAUGGACUCGCGGCUUAUCAGCUUGUUGGUGGGGUAGUGGCUUACCAAGGCUUUGACGGGUAGCCGGCCUGAGAGGGUGAACGGCCACAUUGGGACUGAGAGACGGCCCAGACUGCUACGGGAGGCAGCAGUGGGGAAUAUUGCACAAUGGGCGGAAGCCUGAUGCAGCAACGCCGCGUGCGGGAUGACGGCCUGCGGGUUGUAAACCGCUUUCGCCUGUGACGAAGCGGGAGUGACGGUAAUGGGUAAAGAAGCACCGGCUAACUACGUG